AGUAGUUAUUUUGGACUUUGGUUAUCUCUUGGUUUUUGACUUUUGCAAAUGCAAAUGUGCACAACUUUACAUUUUUUUUUCCUCCAAAUCUGCAUGCACCCUGCACUCCUAGGUACAGAUUUUACUUAUUUUUGGUGAUUGGAUUUAAUUGUAUCGGUUUGUUCAAUUUAAGUUUAUUGGAUUUUUGCAUGUGUUAUUUUUUGCUUCACUUUGUGAUUGUGUCAGUUACUUUAGCUUCAUUGUCUUAUUUCAACAUAUCGAAAUUAUGCGUGUUUGCUUUUUGUUUCAAUUUCUAUUUAUUUUUUAAUUUUUAACUUUUCAUUUUGAGUUUUAUGUUGUAGUCAAUGUCCUAUUUGGAAUGACAGCAUAUGGGCAUCUUAUUACUCAUAUCUGUCCUGAACAAUCAAGCAUCCAACCUACAACAAUCCAAGACUUCAUCAUCCUCUCUCUUUUCCACUAAUUGAUUACACAGUAUGAGAUUGGGAGAUGGAGGCUGUGUAGUAGAUGACAAAAGCGAAAUAAGUUGUGGUUUUCGUAUUCUUUUCUGUCUGCAAAUUUCUAAUUUGAUUUUUGAUUCAUCCCUACAAAAAUUCAGGCCUGAAUACGUCCAUCACAGCUGCUCAAGGCCAUUGGGUCAUGGAAACUUCAGAUGAUGGUAACUCAAGGAAGAAGUGAUAUAUACUCGAUCAGUCUGGAGUAUUAUGUGAAGCAUAUCAAGUUUUAAGUGAUCCACUGCAAAGAGAUUCUUAUCAUUGAGAUGGAAAAAAUUACAUAUCUAUGUACGUUUUUAUGCUUGCACUUGUGGAAAUAUUGUGAGUUGUCACAUGCUCAUAUUACUGCCCCUUUGUGUUUCAUAUUACUAUUAUAUUGAAGAAUAAUUAGGAUUCUACAAUCAGAACAAUAUUUGAAUUUCAAUUCCAU